rnacentral:tRNA from 1 species
GGAGUGAUAGCUCAGUUGUAGAGCAUUCGACUGCAGAUUGAACGGCCCAGGGUUCAACUCCCGGUUGCUCCU